UGCAAACUCCGAAUACCCAGAAGUGCCGAGCAUGGGAGACACACGGCGGGUGCUAACGUCCGUCGUGAAAAGGGAAACAACCCAGACCGCCAGCUAAGGUCCCAAAGUUGUGGUUAAGUGGUAAACGAUGUGGGAAGGCUUAGACAGCUAGGAGGUUGGCUUAGAAGCAGCCACCCUUUAAAGAAAGCGUAAUAGCUCACUAGUCGAGUCGGCCUGCGCGGAAGAUGUAACGGGGCUCAAACCACACACCGAAGCUGCGGGUGUCACGUAAGUGACGCGGUAGAGGAGCGUUCUGUAAGCCUGUGAAGGUGAGUUGAGAAGCUUGCUGGAGGUAUCAGAAGUGCGAAUGCUGACAUGAGUAACGACAAUGGGUGUGAAAAACACCCACGCCGAAAGACCAAGGGUUCCUGCGCAACGUUAAUCGACGCAGGGUUAGUCGGUUCCUAAGGCGAGGCUGAAAAGCGUAGUCGAUGGGAAACAGGUUAAUAUUCCUGUACUUCUGGUUACUGCGAUGGAGGGACGGAGAAGGCUAGGCCAGCUUGGCGUUGGUUGUCCAAGUUUAAGGUGGUAGGCUGAAAUCUUAGGUAAAUCCGGGGUUUCAAGGCCGAGAGCUGAUGACGAGUCGUCUUUUAGAUGACGAAGUGGUUGAUGCCAUGCUUCCAAGAAAAGCUUCUAAGCUUCAGGUAACCAGGAACCGUACCCCAAACCGACACAGGUGGUCGGGUAGAGAAUACCAAGGCGCUUGAGAGAACUCGGGUGAAGGAACUAGGCAAAAUGGCACCGUAACUUCGGGAGAAGGUGCGCCGGCUAGGGUGAAGGAUUUACUCCGUAAGCUCUGGCUGGUCGAAGAUACCAGGCCGCUGCGACUGUUUAUUAAAAACACAGCACUCUGCAAACACGAAAGUGGACGUAUAGGGUGUGACGCCUGCCCGGUGCCGGAAGGUUAAUUGAUGGGGUUAGCGCAAGCGAAGCUCUUGAUCGAAGCCCCGGUAAACGGCGGCCGUAACUAUAACGGUCCUAAGGUAGCGAAAUUCCUUGUCGGGUAAGUUCCGACCUGCACGAAUGGCGUAACGAUGGCGGCGCUGUCUCCACCCGAGACUCAGUGAAAUUGAAAUCGCUGUGAAGAUGCAGUGUAUCCGCGGCUAGACGGAAAGACCCCGUGAACCUUUACUGUAGCUUUGCACUGGACUUUGAGCCUGCUUGUGUAGGAUAGGUGGGAGGCUUUGAAGCGUGGACGCCAGUUCGCGUGGAGCCAUCCUUGAAAUACCACCCUGGCAUGCUUGAGGUUCUAACUCUGGUCCGUAAUCCGGAUCGAGGACAGUGUAUGGUGGGCAGUUUGACUGGGGCGGUCUCCUCCUAAAGAGUAACGGAGGAGUACGAAGGUGCGCUCAGACCGGUCGGAAAUCGGUCGUAGAGUAUAAAGGCAAAAGCGCGCUUGACUGCGAGACAGACACGUCGAGCAGGUACGAAAGUAGGUCUUAGUGAUCCGGUGGUUCUGUAUGGAAGGGCCAUCGCUCAACGGAUAAAAGGUACUCCGGGGAUAACAGGCUGAUACCGCCCAAGAGUUCAUAUCGACGGCGGUGUUUGGCACCUCGAUGUCGGCUCAUCACAUCCUGGGGCUGAAGCCGGUCCCAAGGGUAUGGCUGUUCGCCAUUUAAAGUGGUACGCGAGCUGGGUUUAGAACGUCGUGAGACAGUUCGGUCCCUAUCUGCCGUGGACGUUUGAGAUUUGAGAGGGGCUGCUCCUAGUACGAGAGGACCGGAGUGGACGAACCUCUGGUGUUCCGGUUGUCACGCCAGUGGCAUUGCCGGGUAGCUAUGUUCGGAAAAGAUAACCGCUGAAAGCAUCUAAGCGGGAAACUUGCCUCAAGAUGAGAUCUCACUGGGAACUUGAUUCCCCUGAAGGGCCGUCGAAGACUACGACGUUGAUAGGCUGGGUGUGUAAGCGUUGUGAGGCGUUGAGCUAACCAGUACUAAUUGCCCGUGAGGCUUGACCAU
rnacentral:rRNA from 1 species